rnacentral:lncRNA from 1 species
GUAAAUCCAAAAUAUAACAACUCAUAUCUAUUUUUCUUACAGUUUAACAUAUUCUUUUUCUUUACAUCUGUAGAUAAUUUUGAAUAUUUUCAAAUCUACUUUUAUUUCGUGUUAUUUUUUUUUUAAAAAACAUCCCUAUAAUAAUCAUCAGGAUUCGAAAUCUGUAAAUUGCAGGAACUUGUCUUGUUUUUGUUUUUCUUCUUUUAAAUUAUCAUCAAGAAUUUUAAAAUGGGGGUAAAGAAAAAGAUAAUAGUAGAAGAAAGAAAGAAAGAAACCACAUCUAU